rnacentral:misc_RNA from 1 species
UUUCCGUAGGUGAACCUGCGGAAGGAUCAUUAAAGAGUUAGGGUCUUUCUCGGCCCGACCUCCCAACCCUUUGUUUAUUUAACCUAUGUUGCUUCGGCGGACCCGUCUUCAUCGACCGCCGGAGGACCCUUCGUGGUCCUCUGGCCCGCGUCCGUCGAUAGCCCACCUUAAAAACUCUUUUGAAUCAUGUUAUUUGACCUGAGUAAUUACAAAAAUUAAAGCAAAACUUUCAACAACGGAUCUCUUGGUUCUGGCAUCGAUGAAGAACGCAGC